AUGCUUGUAGAGAAUGAAAAGAAUGCUUUAAGUGCUGGUUAUAUUGUUGAAUUCAUUCAUGAUGCUACUGCUAAUUAUUAUGAGGGAGGAAUAUAUGCUUGUAGGAACUGCAAUAAUAUCAUAUUUCCUCUUUAUGUGCUUAAAGUUUUGAAGUUAUGCUUGUUUUGCCCUCCUAUGCUAGUUGAUUAUUGUUCCCAUAAGUUGUUUGCUCACAAAAUCCCUAUGCAUAGGAAGUAUGUUAGACUUAAAUGUGCUAGUCAUAUUCUUCAUGAUGCUCUAUUUAUGAUUCAAUUCUUAUCUUUUAUGUGA
rnacentral:rRNA from 1 species